AUUGAAAAAGUAAAAAUAUUUUUAAAAUUCUGUAUCUGGCAAAACUAUCUUCCAGAAUGAAAAAGAAAUUAAGAUGUUUCUAGAUAAUCAGCAACUCAGGAUUUCCUCUUGAGGUAUAAAGGCCCCUCUGACCCUGAAAAUGGAUAAAUGGCACUGAAUGGAUCAGAAAUUUUUCUAUCAGAGGAAGAAGAGACUGUGCCUAUGUGAGUGACAAAGGUGUCCGCCCUACACAGAGAAGAAGUGGAUUUGUUCCAAACCAGACAUAUAUGCCCAGAGGAGGAUGCAAAGCCUUACCUGAUCUUCAGAUAUACACUGGAUGUAUCUGAUUAUCUUUCUAAAUAAAAGACUUAGUUUUCUUUUAAAUAUUUAAUAUAAUUGCUUUGUUUGCAAUUCAGUGUUUUCAUUUUACUGAGAUUUCUAGGAAUAUAAUCCUGAAUGCCAGCUGAAAGUUUGUUUUAGUUAUUGUUUUUUAAUAAAAAAAUUGAUUCUCAUUUAUUGA